AUAUUAAUUUUUUUUAUAAAUUUUAAGUGGAUGUAUAAAUUUUUGUCUCUUCUAUCUGCUAUCUAUUUAAUUUCUGUUUGCAUUAAAAGACUUGAAGCCAAUAAUGAGGUUUCAAAUAUGACUAUUUGUGCUGUAUUUAACUACACAUGCGAAUAUAGAAUUAUAGAUGAUGAUAUUGUGAGAACUAGAGAAGAAAACCUCUAUUCUUCGAAGGAACAUAUAAUCACAAAUCCAAAUGUCAUCAUUUGCAGGUGCGAUAAGAUGCUAAUAAACUUCUCUUGUGAAAUCGAAGGCAAUGGUAUUAUAUAUGUACUAGCAGCCGAUAUAUUCAGUUAUAUACAAACUUACUUAACUUACAUUGACCAUUACAUUCAAAUCUCAAAUUUGCUGAUCGGAAUUAGAAUAGGAAAUGAAAACCUUACUUUUAAUCUAGAGCAAGAAUUCAAACCUAAAGUAAAUACAAUAGGAUCCAUGCUUAAUUCAACUACGUCGGUAAAACUAAUAGAAGAUGUAAAUGGUACCCUUAUAAUAUCUUUAGGACUAGUCAAAAGAUUUCGUGGACCAGUCUCCGAGUUGAUCAAUAUUACAUCCUAUGACUCUAGACCAUAUCUUAUCAAACAUUAUGAUGUUGAUAUAAUGAAAGAUGUUUCAAAUAUGACUGUUUGUACAGAAAAUAACUUAACAUGUGAAUAUAGAGUUAUAGAUGAUGAUAUUGUAAAAACAAGAAAAGUCCAGUUAAAAGAAAAUGAGAAAAAUGAGCACUUUCAUCUUCGGGACCUUACUAUCAUAGCUACAAAUUUUGGAAUGGGAAUAUUUCUGGAAAAUAAAAUCCUUACUCUUAAUAUAGAACAAGAAAAGAGACCUAAAGCAUUAGCUAUUACACUGUAUAAACCUCCUACCAAUUAUAAUAAAUGGAGAGAUUCAACUCCUGCUUUAGCAAAGAAAAUAACGGCAAUUACAUGGCUAAAAAAAAUAAAUGGCACUCUGACAAUAUAUUUAGGAAGAACAGAAAUAUUCCGAAAGCAUGUAACCCAUGAAAUGGAAAUCUUAUCCAGAAAUAGCCCUUCCUACUUUAUACAGCAUAAUGGAAUCCAAUGGUUAAAAGUUGGGAAGACAAUGAAUCAAGAUCCAAAUCUUAUGAUUUGUGGGCGUGCUAAAAUGAGCCAAUACUAUUCUUGCGAAAAAGAAGACGGUUUUAUUAAAAAUAUUACAGCAGAAAAUGUUAUCAGUUAUAUUCAGAAAUACUUAAAUCACACUGAUCAUUACAUUCAAACAUCAAAUUUGGUGAUCGGAAUUAGAUUGAGAAAUGAGAACCUUUCUUUAAGCAUAGAGCAAAAAACUAAACCUAAAGUUAAUACAACAGGAGUCAUGUUUAAUUCAAAAGAUGUAAAUGGCACCCUUAUAAUAUCUUUAGGACUGGUCAGAAGAUAUCGUGGACAAGUAUCCGAGUCAAUCAAUAUUACAUCCUCUAAAGGCUCUAGACCAUAUCUUAUUAAGCAUAAUGGAAUUUAAAAGGUUAGGUUGGCUUCAUAUAGUUUGAUAAUUACUAUGUCGACUAUUUUGGAAUCUACAGGCGUCCCUCGAGAAAAUCAAAUAACUCGAACAUUCGACCAAAAUGAUUAAAAGAAAAAUUCCAACUAAAUACAAAAUAAUUAAUUUACACAUGGUAAAAGUAAGCGCCGAAUUGCCAGAGAAUUAACCCUAUCUCGACGAACAGUCGAUUGUAUACUUAAACGCAACAAUAAUACAAUAUCGAAUCCAAAGAGGCCUGGAAGACCCCACAAAACAACUUUAAGUGAUGGUGGAUAUAUAGCAAAGAUCAGUAAACGCAAUCGACGCCUUGUCGCCUUAGAGAUAGCUGCGGAGAUUAAUCUGACUCGGUAAAACCCGAUAAGUGACACAACUGUGAAAAGGCGCCUUAGGAGCUUUGAACUUUAUGGUAGGGUAGCGGUCAAAAACCACUCUUGAGCAAAAAAAUAAACUUAAGCGAUUAGACUGGGUAUGAAAACAUUAAUUUCGAACAUCUGCCAAAUGGUAUCACGUCUUAUGGAGUGAUGAGUCAAAAUUCGAAAUCUUCGGUUCUAAAAGAAGGCAAUAUAUCCGCCGCUCAGCUGGAGAGCGAAUGAGCGAUCACUGCAUAAUUCCUACAGUCAAACUCAGGGGAGGGUCUGUUAUGGUAUGGGGGUGCUUUGGUGCAGGGGCAACCGCCGACAUUGUUAAAAUUAAAGGAAUCCUUAACUAAGAGGGUUACCAGCAAAUUUUUGAGGACCAUGUGAUUUCAUCAGGAAAGUGUUUGAUAGGGAAUAAAUUUUAUUUCACAAGAUAAUACCCAAAGCAUACAUCCAGGCUAUGCAAAGAUUAUUUACAAAAUCUACUACAACUAGAUAUUCUCGAGUUGAUGACUUGGCCAUCCCAGUCCGAUCUGAAUCCAAUCAAACUUUUAUGGGAUCACCUUGAUCGACAAGCGUGAAAAAGCUCACUAACCUCUCAUUCGCACCUUUGGAAAGUAUUGCAGAGAUUAUGGAACAAUAUCACUUCUGAAUAUUUAAAAAUCUCAUCGAAAGAUUACCAAAAAUUUUUGAAGCAAUUAUUAAGAAUAAAGGUGGUC